rnacentral:lncRNA from 1 species
UUUCACGUUAACAUUCUCUUCAUCUGCCUCUCAUCUUCGUCCCCAAAUUCUCCAACACCCAGAUUCUUCUCUUCACAACUCCAGAGCCUCAAUCACAAUCAUCAUCUAACCAUUCAUUCCAUCUUUUUCGAUUAAACUCUAAUUCUUAGUUCUCCAAACCAAAUCCCUAAAUCUCUAAUGGAUCUUCUCCCAUCAUCCGGAUUUUGCAUUAUUAUUUC